UCGUGAACAACUCUCACUCUCCGAACUGGAGCUUUCGGUACCCUGAACCAUUUAUAAUCCAAACACGGAGAUGGGGAACGCUUUCGCUCGAUGUUCAUCAAUCUGACUGAUUUAAUCCACUGCCAUCGUUAUUCAUUACAUCCAGUCCCAUUUCCGUCAACAUCGAGGGAAAAUGUCAUGAGCUGUUCAUCAAUUUGCUGAUGAAGCACAGCAACACCUUAAUAAGAGAGGGAUGUAUCAGGAAGGGUAUCUACAACACCCACACUUCUUCGUUAACAAGCUGAUUCUAUAUUGAUCUGAAAGUAGCGAACGAUUCGAUUUAUGAGAAUCUAGGGCUGUCACGAGAUGAGAAUUGACGUCGACGAGAUCAUCUCACGUUAAGGAGACGUGAAAGUUUGUGAGACUGAC